rnacentral:rRNA from 1 species
AUUGAACGCUGGCGGCAGGCCUAACACAUGCAAGUCGAACGAGUGGCGGACGGGUGAGUAAUGUCUGGGAAACUGCCUGCUGGCGGGGGAUAACUACUGGAAACGGUAGCAAAUACAGCAUCCCAUCAGAAGUGCCCCGGUGGGAUUAGCUAGGUGGUGGGGUAACGGCUCACCAAGGCGACGCUCCCUAGCUGGUCUGAGCGGAUGACCAGCCACACUGGAACUGAGACACGGUCCAGACUCCUACGGGAGGCAGCAGUGGGGAAUAUUGCACAAUGGGCGCAAGCCUGAUGCAGCCAUGCCGCGUGUAUGAAGAAGGCCGUCGGGUUGUAAAGUACUUUCAGCGGGGAGGCGUUACCCGCAGAAGAAGCACCGGCUAACUCCGUGCCAGCAGCCGCGGUAAUUC